rnacentral:rRNA from 1 species
UACGUAGGGGGCAAGCGUUGUCCGGAAUCAUUGGGCGUAAAGAGCGUGUAGGCGGCCCGGUAAGUCCGCUGUGAAAGUCCAGGGCUCAACCCUGGGAUGCCGGUGGAUACUGUCGGGCUCGAGUCCGGAAGAGGAGUGUGGAAUUCCGUGGUGUAGCGGUGAAAUGCGCAGAUAUCAGGAGGAACACCUAUUGCGAAGGCAGCUCGCUGGGACGUAAGCUGACGCUGGAGACGCGAAAGCGUGGGAGC